GAUUUAUCCUUAGUAAGUUAGGAGCACUCGAGUUAGGAGCAGCGGUGGGAUUUUGCGUCGCUGCAUAUGCAGGAGGAGUGAUUCGCGGGCCAUUUCCCGGACUGUCACGUCGUCGCAGUUGAACAUCUUGAGGAGGUGGUUGGUUCUGGUGGCGGUGACACACUCAAUGUUUGGGACUCCGAUACCUCCAUCUCCGCGGGCUUGGAAGAUGAUGUCACGGGUCGAGUGGGUGUUUAAGCCAAGCCAUUUCAUCACCAGGCUCACCGUCUUGUUUGUCAUCUCUGUGAGGAUGUUCUGAGAAGACCAGCUACUAUGUAUUCCGUUGUCUGCUUUGACAAUUCCGAG
ensembl:lncRNA